AGGGCUCUAGCAAGAAGAUGCCAGCAGAGGCUUGAAAAGUGCCUACCCCUGGCCUGGGAUGCUUCCUCCUGGGAUGCUCCCAUUUGGAACCCAACUAUUGUGCUGCAGAAGUUUAACUUAACUAUGUAAGGAGGCCAAGAGGAGGCCCUGGCUGCCAGCCAGCAUCAACUUCCAGUGACGUGAAUGUGCCAUUCUGGAACUGAAUCCUGCAGCCUCGGUGGAGCAGCCUCAGCUGAUGCCACGUGGAACAGAGAUGAACUGCCGUUGCCGAGCUCUGCCCACGUUGCAGAAUCAUGAGCAAAUGUAAAGCAAGAUGAACACCAUAGCUCAGGCCUAAGGAUACAACGGCUCAAGGGAGGGACAGAACACCUGGGUGAAGCUUCACUUUGAGGUACUGAUAUGGUUUGGCUGUGCCCUGACCCAAAUCUCAUCUUGAAUUGUAGCUCCCACAAUUCCCACAUGUCAUGGGAGGGACCUGGUGGAUAACCGAAUCAUGGGGGCGGGUCUUUCCCAUGUUGUUCUCGUGAUAGUGAAGAAGUCUCACAAGAUCUGAUGGUUUUAUAAAGGAGAGUUCCCCUGCAGAUGCUCUCUCUUGCCUGCUGCCAUGUAAGACAUCCCUUGCUCUUCCGCCAUGAUUGUGAGGUGUCCCCAGCCAUCUGGAACUAUGUCUUCUGUGAGACCUGGCUGGAGUUCUACAGCACCUCCUGCCUGCUACUAUCCUAACACUCUGUGGAGCAAACUCUAUUCACUUGUUCUCCAUCUUUCCCUUCUGGGCUCCGGGAGUCCAAACCUUGAGAUGUUGUGGAUUGGCUGUAACUCUGCUCUGGGAUCCAGGCUGAAGGAGCAGGCUGUAUCUGGAACAUUACUAGUCUCCAGGCCGAAGAAAAAGAGACAAUGAAGAAGAAAUAAAAUAAACUCUACAUGGCAAAAUAAACCUCUACAUGGCAAAAUAAACCUCUACAUGGAUAGAGAUCUGUCUCAGACACAUUUUGGUUUCCAUGACUUCUGAAUGGCAGCAUGAGGAGCUCCAUGAACCCUCUCCCCAGUGAAAUGACCAUAACCUCUGGAAAUUACUUAAGAUCAAAGCCACAACUAUUUAAAGCCUUUGGAAAUUGUUUUAUGGGGAUGCAGCAAAUUAAUAAACUUUUAUUCAAGAAAAUGUACUAAGUCUCAGUAAGAACAGUGAGAGUCAAUAACAUUUGUACCACAAAAGACUUCCUCCCUCCUUCUUCUAGCUCAGCAUGAUGGAAAAGUUACUCUAAGUAGGUGAAGCCGAGAACACGGGCUACCUCUUCCCCCAGCUCUCAGUUGAGGGCUACUAUAUCUCCCUGGGAGGGUGGCUGCCAGCAUUUCUCAUGCCCUCCAGCUUCAUGCUGCAAAAGCUCUACUUUGGACAAGACUGGCUGAUAAAUCUGGGGCUCACUUCGUAAACCUAGCCCCCAAUCAUAGGGCAGAAACUCCACCUCGGCCAUGGCAGGCUGAGAAUUCUGGAGCCUGUGUUACUCUGGCCUCAGCUUGCUCAUGGGGCAGAGAUUCUUUACAGGAAAGGCAAGUGCAGAAGAGCAAAAGCUACUGCUCUGUCCAGCACUCUGCUCAUAAAGCAGGAUUGUCAUCCUGAGAUAAGGGGGCCACUGUCUCUGCCUGAGUUCCCCAAGCUCCGGAGCAGUGGUGCAGAGGUUUUGCCCAAGGGGAGAGGAAGGCCGUAGAUACAGAGACCUCUGAAGUUCUUCCCAAGAAAACACUUUAUGUAGAACACAAUGUGGGAAAGUUCAAGUGUAAGGGUGUUCUCAAAAACAAUGAAGAUUUUGUUGGUAAGCAAUUAAGAGGAGCCUGGGAACUCCAUUCAAGCAACAAGCUGAACUGUAGACCAGCUAGAAGUGUUCUGGAGAGAACCAGCGAAAGCAUCAGCUAAGAAGAGCCCUCUUGGUGUUAGAAUAAGUCUCAAAGACUGACCUGAAAGAUUACCCUUGCAAAGGGGCCCAAAUUUAAUGUACAAGACAGGAGCAAUUCAUGCCUCCAGGGCAUUAUCAAACACGAAAGAACAAUCAGCCAGCAGUUGGUGGAGGCUAACGGCUGUAUGUGAUAUCAUAGCAGGCUGACAACUUACCAAAGAGAUAAGGUAAAGAGAAAAGGA